AACGAACGCUGGCGGCAGGCCUAACACAUGCAAGUCGAGCGCCCUUUCGGGGGAGCGGCGGCCGGGUGAGUAACGCGUGGGAAUAUGCCCUUCUCUACGGAAUAGCCUCGGGAAACUGAGAGUAAUACCGUAUACGCCCUAUGGGGGAAAGAUUUAUCGGGGAAGGAUUAGCCCGCGUUGGAUUAGGUAGUUGGUGGGGUAAUGGCCUACCAAGCCGACGAUCCAUAGCUGGUUUGAGAGGAUGAUCAGCCACACUGGGACUUAGACACGGCCCAGACUCCUACGGGAGGCAGCAGUGGGGAAUCUUAGACAAUGGGGGCAACCCUGAUCUAGCCAUGACGCGUGAGUGAUGAAGGCCUUAGGGUUGUAAAGCUCUUUCAGCUGGGAAGAUAAUGACGGUACCAGCAGAAGAAGCCCCGGCUAACUCCGUG
rnacentral:rRNA from 1 species